GAUGAAGAACGUAGCGAAAUGCGAUAAGUAAUGUGAAUUGCAGAAUUCAGUGAAUCAUCGAAUCUUUGAACGCACAUUGCGCCCGCCAGUAUUCUGGCGGGCAUGCCUGUUCGAGCGUCAUUUCAACCCUCAGGGCCCUUUUGGACCUGGCGUUGGGGCUCGGCCGCUACCCUGCGGCCGUCCCCGAAAGAUAGUGGCGGUCUCGCUGUAGCCUCCUCUGCGUAGUAGUUACAUCUCGCACUGGAACGCGGCGCGGCCAUGCCGUUAAACACCCCACUUCUCAAGGUUGACCUCGGAUCAGGUAGGAAUACCCGCUGAACUUAAGCAUAUCAAAAGCGGAGGA
rnacentral:misc_RNA from 1 species